UGCAAGACCAGAGUUAGCUUUAAUUAGCAUACGACAAAACUACCAAAUAUAGCUGUAUGUUUCGAUGUAAACAAUAAGUGCGACCACCAAACAGAAACAUCCUCUACCUGUGCUCCUCUAUGUUUCCACCUCCUCCUGGUGGAGCUGCUCCUGCCACAGAGGAGUUGGGGAUUUACGCUGGAUUUUUGUUUCAGCCUUCUAUGGAAUUAAGAAGUGUAUCCUUGCAUUUCAUUAACUCCUGCCUAAUGAGAUGACUGUCUCUCCCCAAAGAGCAGAUGAUGAAGUACCCUAUGCCACGGUGCAUAAAUUAGUAUGGUGAGGUUAAAUGCUGGAACUGACUCAUGUUUCACAGGAGGACCCGAUGCAGCAGUUAAAAUCAACUCCUAUAAAUACUGACGCUAACAGACUCUGCUCCGCUCGCCAUUCCGAUUGGACGCCGUCGGGCGUCUACUGUAACGUACAGGGUGUAUUUGUGAAUACAGUGGCGUAUAUAUUUUAUUAUAUUUAGAAAAGCAAAGUAUUUGUAACUGCUUUUCAUCAGAAAAAACAAAGAAGAAGAAAAAAAAAGAGUGACUUAACUCGACUCCAGACGUUUCUGGAAAGGUCUUCUCAUAUUUCUCAUUGUUGCGUUCCCUCAGCUGCUGAGUGGUGAUAAUGUUUGAUAUCUGAGCCAAAAUUACAUUAGUGUAAUGAGGUGCCCCACAUGGCUCAUGCACUCUGAACGAGGCAUUUCCGAUGUGUUAGUGCAAUUUCCAGAGACAGGAAAAUGAACCAAAUGUUCUUUCCUGAGCCGCAGCUACACACACACACACACACACACACACACACACAGGCAUACACACAAGGGGAUUCUAACACACUGGGAGAGACGGAGCAAUCACUGAAAACUCAGGAGAUGCCUGAUUUGAUCGUCACUUCUAAUUGGAAGAUCAUUUUCAUAAAGCCUUUCAGAUUAGUGACAGCUUCACUCCUCCAUCCACGUCUGUCCCUACGACUCCUUCACUGGAUAUUUCCCCUCCUUUAAAAGAUGCCCCCGGCAGGAGUGGGAGAUGGCUGUUUGGAGGGGAUGCUGGGAGUUUGCUGAUUUUCCAGGUAUUUUAAGUUUUUUUUUUUUGCGUCCACAUGGCUGUAAUGGACUUAUUCUCAAGCAGUUCUUGUCUCCCUAAUUAGUGGUCCCCCCUUGAGCCGUAACAAGGGCACUGACGAGAGAGGCUUUUUCCCAAUGAUAAUGUGAAUGGAUACCUGCAGGGGGAGAUUUCUGCACUGUUCCUCAUCCUGUCAGCCACUCUGGGUAACACCAGGGCUUAAUGAACCUGAAAACAAGACACUGUGUGCGAAAGGCCGCACGGAGGCAAAAGUCAGACGGUACAGGUCAGCUCAGCAUCACCACAGGACACUCUGGGGCCCUGGGUAUCACACUGCAGCUCCGUGCAAUUUUUCUUACAUUCUUCUUCAGAGGAGGAGGAGGAGGAGGCAGAACUUAGUUAGUCCCACCUGGAG